rnacentral:lncRNA from 1 species
AGUAGUGACUUGCAAUUAAAGUACCGCAUAUGGUGUGGCUAGCAAAAAUAUACCACAAGUGCAAAAUAGUAAUGGUAUUCGAACGCUGAUAUAAAGAAAGAAUGGCAACAUCUUAUAAUGUGGUAAAAUGAUGCAUCUUGUAAUGUGGUUGGAGGGCGUUGUGGCACACACCCCUUCCCUUGAUUCUAAAUGUGCCCUACUAGUGUGAAGACGAGAAAUUU